CAGUAUUUGCAGGGGAAGCAAUUGUGGAGUAAAGUUCCACCAAAUAAAUGAAGCAUAUGAUAUUGUGAUUAGUAAUUUACGAGGGGAAGUGAGCACACCACAAACAGAGAUGUGCGACGAUGGUGAUUCG